rnacentral:rRNA from 1 species
ACUUAAAUUGAAGAGUUUGAUCAUGGCUCAGAUUGAACGCUGGCGGCAGGCCUAACACAUGCAAGUCGAGCGGUAGCACAGAGAGCUUGCUCUCGGGUGACGAGCGGCGGACGGGUGAGUAAUGUCUGGGAAACUGCCUGAUGGAGGGGGAUAACUACUGGAAACGGUAGCUAAUACCGCAUAAYGUCGCAAGACCAAAGUGGGGGACCUUCGGGCCUCAUGCCAUCAGAUGUGCCCAGAUGGGAUUAGCUAGUAGGUGGGGUAACGGCUCACCUAGGCGACGAUCCCUAGCUGGUCUGAGAGGAUGACCAGCCACACUGGAACUGAGACACGGUCCAGACUCCUACGGGAGGCAGCAGUGGGGAAUAUUGCACAAUGGGCGCAAGCCUGAUGCAGCCAUGCCGCGUGUGUGAAGAAGGCCUUCGGGUUGUAAAGCACUUUCAGCGGGGAGGAAGGCGKURAGGUUAAUAACCUYRKCGAUUGACGUUACCCGCAGAAGAAGCACCGGCUAACUCCGUGCCAGCAGCCGCGGUAAUACGGAGGGUGCAAGCGUUAAUCGGAAUUACUGGGCGUAAAGCGCACGCAGGCGGUCUGUCAAGUCGGAUGUGAAAUCCCCGGGCUYAACCUGGGAACUGCAUUCGAAACUGGCAGGCUAGAGUCUUGUAGAGGGGGGUAGAAUUCCAGGUGUAGCGGUGAAAUGCGUAGAGAUCUGGAGGAAUACCGGUGGCGAAGGCGGCCCCCUGGACAAAGACUGACGCUCAGGUGCGAAAGCGUGGGGAGCAAACAGGAUUAGAUACCCUGGUAGUCCACGCCGUAAACGAUGUCGAUUUGGAGGUUGUGCCCUUGAGGCGUGGCUUCCGGAGCUAACGCGUUAAAUCGACCGCCUGGGGAGUACGGCCGCAAGGUUAAAACUCAAAUGAAUUGACGGGGGCCCGCACAAGCGGUGGAGCAUGUGGUUUAAUUCGAUGCAACGCGAAGAACCUUACCUGGUCUUGACAUCCACAGAACUUWSCAGAGAUGSWUUGGUGCCUUCGGGAACUGUGAGACAGGUGCUGCAUGGCUGUCGUCAGCUCGUGUUGUGAAAUGUUGGGUUAAGUCCCGCAACGAGCGCAACCCUUAUCCUUUGUUGCCAGCGGUCCGGCCGGGAACUCAAAGGAGACUGCCAGUGAUAAACUGGAGGAAGGUGGGGAUGACGUCAAGUCAUCAUGGCCCUUACGACCAGGGCUACACACGUGCUACAAUGGCAUAUACAAAGAGAAGCGACCUCGCGAGAGCAAGCGGACCUCAUAAAGUAUGUCGUAGUCCGGAUUGGAGUCUGCAACUCGACUCCAUGAAGUCGGAAUCGCUAGUAAUCGUAGAUCAGAAUGCUACGGUGAAUACGUUCCCGGGCCUUGUACACACCGCCCGUCACACCAUGGGAGUGGGUUGCAAAAGAAGUAGGUAGCUUAACCUUCGGGAGGGCGCUUACCACUUUGUGAUUCAUGACUGGGGUGAAGUCGUAACAAGGUAACCGUAGGGGAACCUGCGGUUGGAUCACCUCCUUACCUUAAAGAA